GACGAACGCUGGCGGCGCGCUUAACACAUGCAAGUCGAGCGAAAACCAGGGCUUCGGCUCUGGGGACAGCGGCGAACGGGUGAGUAACACGUGGAUAACCUGCCCUCGGCACCGGGAUAGCCCGGGGAAACUCGGAUUAAUACCGGAUAGCCCUUCCGACUCUCGAGUCGGUCCGAAAAGGUAGCUUCGGCCUCUGGCCGAGGAUGGGUCCGCGGCGGAUUAGCUUGUUGGUGGGUAACGGCCUACCAAGGCUU
rnacentral:rRNA from 1 species